AUUGAACGCUGGCGGCAUGCCUUACACAUGCAAAUCGAACGGUAACGGGCCUUCGGGUGCCGACGAGUGGCGAACGGGUGAGUAAUACAUCGGAACGUGCCCGAUCGUGGGGGAUAACGAGGCGAAAGCUUUGCUAAUACCGCAUACGAUCUACGGAUGAAAGCAGGGGACCGCAAGGCCUUGCGCGGACGGAGCGGCCGAUGGCAGAUUAGGUAGUUGGUGGGAUAAAAGCUUACCAAGCCGACGAUCUGUAGCUGGUCUGAGAGGAUGAUCAGCCACACUGGGACUGAGACACGGCCCAGACUCCUACGGGAGGCAGCAGUGGGGAAUUUUGGACAAUGGGCGCAAGCCUGAUCCAGCCAUGCCGCGUGCAGGAUGAAGGCCUUCGGGUUGUAAACUGAUUUUGUACGGAACGAAAAGCCUUCUUUUAAUACAGGAGGGUCAUGACGGUACCGUAAGAAUAAGCACCGGCUAACUACGUA
rnacentral:rRNA from 1 species